rnacentral:rRNA from 1 species
CAGGCCUAACACAUGCAAGUCGAACGGAAAGGCCCUGCUUUUGUGGGGUGCUCGAGUGGCGAACGGGUGAGUAACACGUGAGUAACCUGCCCUUGACUUUGGGAUAACUUCAGGAAACUGGGGCUAAUACCGGAUAGGGGCUCCUGCUGCAUGGUGGGGGUUGGAAAGUUUCGGCGGUUGGGGAUGGACUCGCGGCUUAUCAGCUUGUUGGUGGGGUAGUGGCUUACCAAGGCUUUGACGGGUAGCCGGCCUGAGAGGGUGACCGGCCACAUUGGGACUGAGAUACGGCCCAGACUCCUACGGGAGGCAGCAGUGGGGAAUAUUGCACAAUGGGCGGAAGCCUGAUGCAGCAACGCCGCGUGCGGGAUGACGGCCUUCGGGUUGUAAACCGCUUUCGCCUGUGACGAAGCGUGAGUGACGGUAAUGGGUAAAGAAGCACCGGCUAACUACGUGCCAGCAGCCGCGGUGAUACGUAGGGUGCGAGCGUUGUCCGGAUUUAUUGGGCGUAAAGGGCUCGUAGGUGGUUGAUCGCGUCGGAAGUGUAAUCUUGGGGCUUAACCCUGAGCGUGCUUUCGAUACGGGUUGACUUGAGGAAGGUAGGGGAGAAUGGAAUUCCUGGUGGAGCGGUGGAAUGCGCAGAUAUCAGGAGGAACACCAGUGGCGAAGGCGGUUCUCUGGGCCUUUCCUGACGCUGAGGAGCGAAAGCGUGGGGAGCGAACAGGCUUAGAUACCCUGGUAGUCCACGCUGUA